UACGGGGGGUGCAAGCGUUGUUCGGAUUUAUUGGGCGUAAAGCGCGUGUAGGCGGUUUGUUUAGUCUGAUGUGAAAGCCCUGGGCUCAACCCAGGAAGUGCAUUGGAUACUGGCAGACUUGAAUACGGGAGAGGGUAGUGGAAUUCCUGGUGUAGGAGUGAAAUCCGUAGAUAUCAGGAGGAACACCGGUGGCGAAGGCGGCUACCUGGACCGAUAUUGACGCUGA
rnacentral:rRNA from 1 species